UGCCAGACUCCUACGGGAGGCAGCAGUGGGGGAUAUUGGACAAUGGGGGGAACCCUGAUCCAGCGACGCCGCGUGAGUGAAGAAGUAUUUCGGUAUGUAAAGCUCUAUCAGCAGGGAAGAUAAUGACGGUACCUGACUAAGAAGCUCCGGCUAAAUACGUGCCAGCAGCCGCGGUAAUACGUAUGGAGCAAGCGUUAUCCGGAUUUACUGGGUGUAAAGGGAGCGUAGACGGUGAAGUAAGUCUGGAGUGAAAGGCGGGGGCCCAACCCCCGGACUGCUCUGGAAACUAUUUGACUGGAGUGCAGGAGAGGUAAGCGGAAUUCCUAGUGUAGCGGUGAAAUGCGUAGAUAUUAGGAGGAACACCAGUGGCGAAGGCGGCUUACUGGACUGUAACUGACGUUGAGGCUCGAAAGCGUGGGGAGCAAACAGGAUUAGAUACCCCUGUAC
rnacentral:rRNA from 1 species